rnacentral:rRNA from 1 species
AGUCGACGAUGAAUCUUCUAGCUUGCUAGAAGUGGAUUAGUGGCGCACGGGUGAGUAAUGCAUAGGUUAUGUGCCCUUUAGUCUGGGAUAGCCACUGGAAACGGUGAUUAAUACUGGAUACUCCCUACGGGGGAAAGUUUUUCGCUAAAGGAUCAGCCUAUGUCCUAUCAGCUUGUUGGUGAGGUAAUGGCUCACCAAGGCUAUGACGGGUAUCCGGCCUGAGAGGGUGAUCGGACACACUGGAACUGAGACACGGUCCAGACUCCUACGGGAGGCAGCAGCAGGGAAUAUUGCUCAAUGGGGGAAACCCUGAAGCAGCAACGCCGCGUGGAGGAUGAAGGUUUUAGGAUUGUAAACUCCUUUUGUUAGAGAAGAUUAUGACGGUAUCUAACGAAUAAGCACCGGCUAACUCCGUGCCAGCAGCCGCGGUAAUACGGAGGGUGCAAGCGUUACUCGGAAUCACUGGGCGUAAAGAGUGCGUAGGCGGGGUAAUAAGUCAGAUGUGAAAUCCUGUAGCUUAACUACAGAACUGCAUUUGAAACUGUUACUCUGGAGUGUGGGAGAGGUAGGUGGAAUUCUUGGUGUAGGGGUAAAAUCCGUAGAGAUCAAGAGGAAUACUCAUUGCGAAGGCGACCUGCUGGAACAUUACUGACGCUGAUGCACGAAAGCGUGGGGAGCAAACAGGAUUAGAUACCCUGGUAGUCCACGCCCUAAACGAUGGAUGCUAGUUGUUGCCUUGCUUGUCAGGGCAGUAAUGCAGCUAACGCAUUAAGCAUCCCGCCUGGGGAGUACGGUUGCAAGAUUAAAACUCAAAGGAAUAGACGGGGACCCGCACAAGCGGUGGAGCAUGUGGUUUAAUUCGAAGAUACGCGAAGAACCUUACCUAGGCUUG